GUCCUAGCCGUAAACGAUGCACAUUAGACGUGGGGGGUAUCGACCCCCUCCGUGUCGACGCAAACGCAUUAAAUGUGCCGCCUGGGGAGUACGGCCGCAAGGUUGAAACUCAAAGGAAUUGACGGGGGCCCGCACAAGCGGUGGAGCAUGUGGUUUAAUUCGACGCAACGCGAAGAACCUUACCUAGGCUUGAACCACUGGUAGUAGGAUUGAUGAAAAUCGAGACGAACCGUAAAGUCGGUUGCCAGAAGAGGUGCUGCAUGGCUGUCGU
rnacentral:rRNA from 1 species